UCCAGCGGUUGUCAGCUAUCCAGGCUAGUGUGAUGCCUUGGAUGGUGUUACACUGUUGGAAGAGCAAGCGCUGCCUUUAAUGAGGUCUGGCUCCAAGCACUGUUUUGGUGUUGUGGCCGAGUACCUUUGGGCAGUGUUUUGCACCUUUGAGAGAGUGGAAUAACUCCUCCUGUGGAGUUAGUCCUAGUCUGGGUGCGAACAAU
rnacentral:snoRNA from 1 species